rnacentral:miRNA from 1 species
GAGGUGGGAGGAUUGCUUGACUCCAGGAGAUUAAGGCUGCAGUGAGCCAUGAUUGUGCCACUGCACUCCAGCCUGAGUGACAGAGGGAGACC